rnacentral:rRNA from 1 species
UACAGAGGUCUCAAGCGUUGUUCGGAUUCAUUGGGCGUAAGGGUGCGUAGGCGGCGCGGUAAGUCGGGUGUGAAAUCUCGGAGCUUAACUCCGAAACUGCAUUCGAUACUGCCGUGCUUGAGGACUGGAGAGGAGACUGGAAUUUACGGUGUAGCGGUGAAAUGCGUAGAUAUCGUAAGGAAGACCAGUGGCGAAGGCGGGUCUCUGGACAGUUCCUGACGCUGAGGCACGAAGGCCAGGGGAGCAAACGGG